AGGAUGAACGCUGGCGGCGUGCCUAAUACAUGCAAGUCGAGCGAACAGAUGAGAAGCUUGCUUCUCUGAUGUUAGCGGCGGACGGGUGAGUAACACGUGGGUAACCUACCUAUAAGACUGGGAUAACUCCGGGAAACCGGGGCUAAUACCAGAUAAUACAUUGAACCGCAUGGUUCAAUGUUGAAAGACGGUUUCGGCUGUCACUUAUAGAUGGACCCGCGCCGUAUUAGCUAGUUGGUAAGGUAACGGCUUACCAAGGCAACGAUACGUAGCCGACCUGAGAGGGUGAUCGGCCACACUGGAACUGAGACACGGUCCAGACUCCUACGGGAGGCAGCAGUAGGGAAUCUUCCGCAAUGGGCGAAAGCCUGACGGAGCAACGCCGCGUGAGUGAUGAAGGUCUUAGGAUCGUAAAACUCUGUUGUUAGGGAAGAACAAAUUUGUUAGUAACUGAACAAGUCUUGACGGUACCUAACCAGAAAGCCACGGCUAACUACGUGCCAGCAGCCGCGGUAAUACGUAGGUGGCAAGCGUUAUCCGGAAUUAUUGGGCGUAAAGCGCGCGUAGGCGGUUUCUUAAGUCUGAUGUGAAAGCCCACGGCUCAACCGUGGAGGGUCAUUGGAAACUGGGGAACUUGAGUGCAGAAGAGGAGAGUGGAAUUCCAUGUGUAGCGGUGAAAUGCGCAGAGAUAUGGAGGAACACCAGUGGCGAAGGCGGCUCUCUGGUCUGUAACUGACGCUGAUGUGCGAAAGCGUGGGGAUCAAACAGAAGUAGAUACCCUGGUAGUCCACGCCGUAAACGAUGAGUGCUAAGUGUUAGGGGGUUUCCGCCCCUUAGUGCUGCAGCUAACGCAUUAAGCACUCCGCCCUGGGGAGUACGACCGCAAGGUUGAAACUCAAAGGAAUUGACGGGGACCCGCACAAGCGGUGGAGCAUGUGGUUUAAUUCGAAGCAACGCGAAGAACCUUACCAAAUCUUGACAUCCUUUGACCGCUCUAGAGAUAGAGUCUUCCCCUUCGGGGGACAAAGUGACAGGUGGUGCAUGGUUGUCGUCAGCUCGUGUCGUGAGAUGUUGGGUUAAGUCCCGCAACGAGCGCAACCCUUAAGCUUAGUUGCCAUCAUUAAGUUGGGCACUCUAGGUUGACUGCCGGUGACAAACCGGAGGAAGGUGGGGAUGACGUCAAAUCAUCAUGCCCCUUAUGAUUUGGGCUACACACGUGCUACAAUGGAUAAUACAAAGGGCAGCGAACCCGCGAGGUCAAGCAAAUCCCAUAAAAUUAUUCUCAGUUCGGAUUGUAGUCUGCAACUCGACUACAUGAAGCUGGAAUCGCUAGUAAUCGUAGAUCAGCAUGCUACGGUGAAUACGUUCCCGGGUCUUGUACACACCGCCCGUCACACCACGAGAGUUUGUAACACCCGAAGCCGGUGGAGUAACCUUUUAUUAGGAGCUAGCCGUCGAAGGUGGGAC
rnacentral:rRNA from 1 species